UACUUGCUUUUGAUGAUGUUUCAGUGUCAUUCCACUUCGAAAUUAUAAAUAACGAUUCAAUUAGGUACACAAAAAGCUCAAGAAAAUCAAUGACAGCAUAAAAACGUUCAACUCAUUUAAUCGCAUAUAAUUGUUGUAAUGAUUUUUUGGUAAUACAUUUUUGGCUUUCUUCGAUUUGACUUUUCAACACAUCUUUUCGCUUCGGAAGAUGAAUAAGAAAUAACAAGGUUUAAAACAUGAACAGCAAAAUGAACAUACGUCGCAAGCGAGUCACUUUGGUCAAUAAGAGCUUGAGCUCCGUUGAAUUGACCAGACAUAGAAGAACAUCCAUCGUAACACUGUCCUCUAAGUAGUAUCUGUCGUAGGCACAAACAGAAGAAUUCUUCCUUGAUAAUCAUAUUUUCAACAACUAAAUAUCGUGCACACAAAGUUACUUGUUCAAUUCCACCAAUGUCGACCGUUUCAUCAGCAUGUAUUGUGAAACAUCUUUGGGCAUUUAUGUUUGGAUAUGACUACAUAACUUAAUUGUCACUUCAAUAUUUUUUAACACGCAACAAAAAGCAAAAAAAUUCAUAUAAUUACUUAAGUUACAAUAAAUCAUAAUUCUUUUUUAUUAUUUACUUUGUUAAUUGUAUCAACAUAUUAUGAUGUUUUUACAAUAAAACAGAUUAUAAUUUUAA